rnacentral:rRNA from 1 species
AUUGAACGCUGGCGGCGUGCCUAACACAUGCAAGUCGAUCGGUAACAGGUGUAGCAAUACAUGCUGACGAGAGGCGGACGGGUGAGUAAUGCUUGGGAAUCUGCCUAUUAGUGGGGGACAACCCGGGGAAACUCGGGCUAAUACCGCAUACGCUCUACGGAGGAAAGCCGGGGACCGCAAGGCCUGGCGCUAAUAGAUGAGCCCAAGUCGGAUUAGCUAGUUGGUAGGGAACGGCCUACCAAGGCGACAAUCCGUAGCUGGUCUGAGAGGACGACCAGCCACACCGGAACUGAGACACGGUCCGGACUCCUACGGGAGGCAGCAGUGGGGAAUAUUGGACAAUGGGGCAACCCUGAUCCAGCGACGCCGCGUGGGUGAAGAAGGCCUGCGGGUUGUAAAGCCCCUUUCGGUGGGGAAGAAAAGUCUCGACCUAAUACGUCGGGACCUUGACGUAACCCACUAAAGAAGCACCGGCUAACUCUGUGCCAGCCGCCGCGGUAAU